rnacentral:rRNA from 1 species
GCGGGAAGCAGACAGAAUCCUUCGGGAGGACGUCUGUGGAACGAGCGGCGGACGGGUGAGUAACACGUGGGCAACCUGCCUGUAAGACUGGGAUAACUCCGGGAAACCGGGGCUAAUACCGGAUAACUCAUCGAAUCGCAUGAUUCGAUGUUGAAAGGUGGCAUAUGCUAUCACUUACAGAUGGGCCCGCGGCGCAUUAGCUAGUUGGUGGAGUAACAGCCUACCAAGGCGACGAUGCGUAGCCGACCUGAGAGGGUGAUCGGCCACACUGGGACUGAGACACGGCCCAGACUCCUACGGGAGGCAGCAGUAGGGAAUCAUCCGCAAUGGACGAAAGUCUGACGGUGCAACGCCGCGUGAGUGAGGAAGGUCUUCGGAUCGUAAAGCUCUGUUGUUAGAGAAGAACAAGUGCUGUUCGAAUAGGUCAGCACCUUGACGGUACCUAACCAGAAAGCCACGGCUAACUACGUGCCAGCAGCCGCGGUAAUACGUAGGUGGCAAGCGUUGUCCGGAAUUAUUGGGCGUAAAGCGCGCGCAGGCGGUUCCUUAAGUCUGAUGUGAAAGCCCACGGCUCAACCGUGGAGGGUCAUUGGAAACUGGGGGACUUGAGUACAGAAGAGGAGAGCGGAAUUCCACGUGUAGCGGUGAAAUGCGUAGAUAUGUGGAGGAACACCAGUGGCGAAGGCGGCUC